rnacentral:rRNA from 1 species
UACGUAGGUCCCGAGCGUUGUCCGGAUUUAUUGGGCGUAAAGCGAGCGCAGGUGGUUUAUUAAGUCUGGUGUAAAAGGCAGUGGCUCAACCAUUGUAUGCAUUGGAAACUGGUAGACUUGAGUGCAGGAGAGGAGAGUGGAAUUCCAUGUGUAGGAGUGAAAUCCGUAGAUAUCUGGAGGAACACCGGUGGCGAAGGCGGCCACCUGGACGACAACUGACGCUGAGGUGCGAAAGCGUGGGUAGCAAACAGG